AUUGAAUCAUUUGAGGAUAGAAAUAAGGCAAUACAGGGUGGAGAUGAAAGUAGAACAUGUCUAGGGCAAUUGGAUGCUGAAAUUCUUCUUUGACUUGAAAGAAGUUUAAGGGAGAUUCCAUCCUGGGUCGGAUGAUUGAAGAAGACAGAAAACAAUUACCGCAAAAUUAUUUCUUAUCACGUUUGAAGAUGAAGAAAUGAUGGAAAGCAUGAAGGGAGACAACUGGAUUUGGCUUCUUUGGUG
rnacentral:lncRNA from 1 species